rnacentral:rRNA from 1 species
AACGAACGCUGGCGGCAUGCCUAACACAUGCAAGUCGAACGAGAUCUUCGGGUCUAGUGGCGCACGGGUGCGUAACGCGUGGGAAUCUGCCCUUUGGUUCGGAAUAACAGUUGGAAACGACUGCUAAUACCGGAUGAUGACGAAAGUCCAAAGAUUUAUCGCCAGAGGAUGAGCCCGCGUAGGAUUAGCUAGUUGGUGUGGUAAAGGCGCACCAAGGCGACGAUCCUUAGCUGGUCUGAGAGGAUGAUCAGCCACACUGGGACUGAGACACGGCCCAGACUCCUACGGGAGGCAGCAGUGGGGAAUAUUGGACAAUGGGCGAAAGCCUGUUCCAGCAAUGCCGCGUGAGUGAUGAAGGCCUUAGGGUUGUAAAGCUCUAUUACCCGGGAUGAUAAUGACAGUACCGGGAGAAUAAGCUCCGGCUAACUCCGUGCCAGCCGCCGCCGUAAGAC